UUCCUUAUUUUUUUAAUUAUUAUUUUUUUUAAAAUUAUCAUCUUCACCACCCAAAAGAAGAAGCAAGCAACUAAAGGAAAUGAGAAGAUAAACUCCCAAGUCUUCGUUGUAUUCUUACUUCUCCCGUUCUUCAAUUGUUGUACGAACUGAAAAAAGGCAAACGAAAAGACGAACAACAACAACCAGUCAUUAUU
rnacentral:ribozyme from 14 species